AGGGAUAUAACUCAGCGGUAGAGUGCCACCUUGACGUGGUGGAAGUCAUCAGUUCGAGUCUGAUUAUCCCUA
rfam:Oryza nivara chromosome 1, whole genome shotgun sequence.